AUGUCAACUGAUAUUGGUGGUGAAGCAGAUAAAAUUAAUUACAUGACUGAUGUUGCCGAAGUACUUGCUGAUAAGGCUGUGGAAGCUGUAGUUUCUCAAGCUCCAGCUUUGAACGAGGUGGCAAAUGCUGCUGCAGAUUGUUAUUUGCCGGUGAAGGCAUUGAUGUAUUUGAUGGAUUACGUUCAUAUAUUUACUGGGUUUGAAUGGUGGGGAUCCAUAGUUGUUACAAGUAUUAUGAUUCGGUUGGUUAUUCUUCCAUUAAUGAUUAAUCAGCUUAAAGCUACUUCAAAACUUACGCUUCUGAGACCAAAGUUGGAAGAGAUUAAAGAAGAGAUGCAAAAUAAGGGUAUGGAGCCAGCGGCAGUUGCUGAUGGUCAACGAAGAAUGCAAGAAUUGAUGAGGGAAUACGGAGUAACUCCAUUCACUCCCUUAAAAGGACUACUAAUACAAGGCCCGAUCUUCAUCAGUUUUUUUAUGGCUAUUAGGAACAUGGUGGAUGCUGUUCCUUCUCUCAAAACGGGUGGACCAUUGUGGUUUACUGAUCUAACUACUCCAGAUGAUAUGUAUAUCCUUCCAGUUUUGACGGCUUUAACAUUCUGGAUAACAGUGGAGUUGAAUGCUCAAGAAGGAUUGGAGGGAAAUCCUGCUGGUAAAACUAUAAAAAAUGUUUCACGGGCCUUUGCUGUGCUAACUGUCCCACUUACUGCUAGUUUUGCUAAGGCAAUUUUCUGUUACUGGAUAACCUCAAAUCUUUUUUCACUCUCCUACGGUUUGGUGAUAAAAAGUCACGCGGUCAAGAAGGCACUGGGUAUUCCUAUAAUACGUUACAGUCCUCCAUCUCCAACAGAACAAAAACCAGCGCUCCCAUUUUUUGAAACACUCAAGAAAUAUGCAGCAGCACAACAACAUAUAGCAGCAAAGCAGAGCGCAGCAUCACAGCAACCGGCUUUAUCAUCCCCUCCUGUAGAAGAAUCAAGACCCACGAGUCAACGAGUAUCAGCAUCCUCGGUUCUUAGUCAAAGGGUCAAAAGUUUAGAAAAAGAAGUGAAAGGAAGAAAGAAGAACAAGAAGAGGUAAAUACUCGAGUGCUAGUUAUAGGUUAUCUCUAGUUGCAUACAUAUACACAGUUAAAAGCUGUAUUUGUUGAAAUAAUCGGGGCAGAGAAGCUCAAUGAUUUUUGGCGAUAUUGCGCGUUUGCACCCUCUCGAGUGUUGGGGAGUAAGCAAGAUUUUGUUUCGUUUCGAGAGUAUUUCGAGGACCAUAGUAUCUUUAUUUCUCCUCAUUAGACAUAAUUAGAGAGAGAUUAUCCAUUUAGAGUCUUGUAAUAU
rnacentral:misc_RNA from 1 species